rnacentral:tRNA from 1 species
UCCGGCAUGGUCUAGUGGCUAGGAUACCUGGCUCUCACCCAGGAGGCCGGGUUCAAUUCGGUGUCGGAA